rnacentral:tRNA from 1 species
GGCGCAGUGGCAAAGCGGGUUAACGCCCUGGCCUGAAGCGCCAGCAUCUCAUGUGGGCGCCGGUUCUAGUCCUGGCUGCUCCG